GUCGAACGGUAGAGGGGGCAACCCCUCGAGAGUGGCGAACGGGUGAGUAAUAUAUCGGAACGUGCCCAGUCGUGGGGGAUAACGUAGCGAAAGUUACGCUAAUACCGCAUACGAUCUACGGAUGAAAGCGGGGGACUCGCAAGAGCCUCGCGCGAUUGGAGCGGCCGAUAUCAGAUUAGGUAGUUGGUGGGGUAAAGGCUCACCAAGCCAACGAUCUGUAGCUGGUCUGAGAGGACGACCAGCCACACUGGAACUGAGACACGGUCCAGACUCCUACGGGAGGCAGCAGUGGGGAAUUUUGGACAAUGGACGCAAGUCUGAUCCAGCCAUUCCGCGUGCAGGAUGAAGGCCCUCGGGUUGUAAACUGCUUUUGUACGGAACGAAAAGGUCUCUAUUAAUACUAGGGGCUCAUGACGGUACCGUAAGAAUAAGCACCGGCUAACUACGUGCCAGCAGCCGCGGUAAUACGUAGGGUGCAAGCGUUAAUCGGAAUUACUGGGCGUAAAGCGUGCGCAGGCGGUUAUGUAAGACAGAGGUGAAAUCCCCGGGCUCAACCUGGGAACUGCCUUUGUGACUGCAUAGCUAGAGUACGGUAGAGGGGGAUGGAAUUCCGCGUGUAGCAGUGAAAUGCGUAGAUAUGCGGAGGAACACCGAUGGCGAAGGCAAUCCCCUGGACCUGUACUGACGCUCAUGCACGAAAGCGUGGGGAGCAAACAGGAUUAGAUACCCUGGUAGUCCACGCCCUAAACG
rnacentral:rRNA from 1 species